rnacentral:rRNA from 1 species
GACGAACGCUGGCGGCGUGCUUAACACAUGCAAGUCGAGCGGUAAGGCCCUUCGGGGUACACGAGCGGCGAACGGGUGAGUAACACGUGGGUAACCUGCCCUGUACUGUGGGAUAAGCCUGGGAAACUGGGUCUAAUACCGCAUAUGACUUCACUGCGCAUGUGGUGGGGUGGAAAGUUCUGGCGGUACAGGAUGGGCCCGCGGCCUAUCAGCUUGUUGGUGGGGUGAUGGCCUACCAAGGCGACGACGGGUAGCCGGCCUGAGAGGGCGACCGGCC